UUCAUGUGGGUGUGAAAGACCAGUAACCUCAGCGGAUAUACACACAGAAAAAUAAUUUUAAAAUAUUUAUUUUUAUGAAUUUUCAUUUUCAUAAAAAAUUUCUCAUAGUAUCCCCACAGCCAAUUUUCCCCAGAGUAGAAAAUCAUAUCAGGAAGCCCCUGAAAAUAUCAAUAAAACACCAACCUACAGAUAAUCUAAAUGAAAAUCAUGCCAAGGGCUGGAUUUGCAGUUUGGGUCCUCCUUAUCAUUUCAGGAAACAUCAUUGAUGAGAGUUUAAUCCCAAGUAAGAGAGAAAAUAAAACAAAAACACCUUAAAACAGGCAGGGCAGGAAGAACGUCGGGAACCUUAGGAGAUCCUCUCAUUAGUGCAUGGAGACAGGCAAGCAUGGCAUCUAGUUGAGUCUUUUGGAACUGGAAGAAUGAAAAGUGGUGAGCAAGACCUUCUUAAUGCAGGAUUCUAAUCUAAGACUAUACAGAGUUACUGAAAUUCCCAUUUAUUGUAUUCUCAGUGUAUUGAUAAUACUUACAUUGUUACUUAUCCUUGAGAUCUAAGCAGCAAAAUGGGCCAAGAGUCAUCCCUAUCUUUGAGCUAGUCGAUACUAUAUUCCAGAUAAAUUUUACUAUGUUUCUAAAAAUAUGUAGCUCAACAUUAGAAAAGAUUAUUCUGGCUAUGAAGCACCUACAGAUGCACUAGUCUGAGCUUUUUUACUUCCUCUCCUCUCCCUUUCCCCUUUUCGUCCUUCAGUUCUCUUAUUCUACCCUUACUUUCAAAGGACUUUGGGCUCUAUAAUACAGAAUCCAUUUAAUUCUUUAAGAAAUAACCAUGAAGCAAUGUAAAGGGCAAAGUUGGUAAGAAAAAUCCUCUGACUUCUAUUUUAACAACAACAUCAACAACAACAAAAAACAAAACAAAAAAAAAACAAAAAACAAAAAAAACAGCAAAGCCCUCAAAAUGUAAUUUGGGGGCACUUGCAAAGGCUUUCUCACAAAGAAUAUUAGACAGGAUUUUCAUUAGACUUGGCCUUAUAUAUUAGAAUUCUAUACAGUUGUUGUUACAUUACUCAAAACAGUGGAUGAACAAACUGUCUAGAACUAGCAGUUAUUAAUAUAUCCUCUUCAAAAAAAAAAAAACAGAACAAAACCCAGCUUGAAUGUAUAUGUAAUAAAUAUUGCUUACAAAAGAAGCAACCACACUCUCUUCAAAACACAAAGAAGUCUCACAUAUACCAACCUGCCGGGGGAAGAUAUUUGGCUUGCAAAACAAUCAGUUUUAUCCCCAGAAAAUAGGUCUAAUUUACUGACGGCUAUAAACUGAAUAGUAAAUUGACUCUUUAUUAUAUCAUCUCUCCUAGUAUUACACUAUGAGCCUGGUUCAAGAAUCACUGUCCAGCUGCUCCAUGAAAGCCUGCAUAAAGAUACAUGGACCCUGAAAAUAAUCUAUUUCCCAGUUCUUUGUGGCCCUGGAAAGGCACAGAAUUUAUGGGACUUGUUAGAGAAGCCAGGCUAAUAAAAACAGAAAGAUACCCGAGUGUUCUUGGCAGUACCUUGUUCCUAUAGAUGUAAAAGUGUUUAAGCUUCUCUGUCCAAGAUAAUGUUCUUGCCAUCCAGUGAAUGAAAUCGUAGGAGAAGCUAGCCAAUAAUGUUCAACAAUGCAUUCUAUUUAUUGUACCUAGUAAUAAUUAAAUCUGUCCAAUGAAAAAUGGCAUUUUGUUUAAAACAGUUCCUGUUCCCUUAUUAUCGUUUCUUUUGCCCUAAAAAUGCAAUUGUUAUCUAUUGCACUGACAGUCAUAAAGGUUCUCAGAGGAACACAGUGAUAAGUAUGGCAUAGAAGGGUUGAUAAAACAUUAGUAAUACAAUGAUGUUUUUCACUCUUUUAAACCUUUUGUCAUUCUCUUUUCUAGAGCUAAAUCUUCUAUUAAACAAGGAAAUAAACCGAUAUAAAGAGAGGUGAGGUCCUGCUUUGUUACUCACCCUGGUCUCAAACUCCUGAACUCAAGCCAUCUUCUCACCUCAGUUUCCACCUGAGCCUCUGAAAGCUCUGGGAUUACAGGAUAAUAACCCAACACCCACUGGAUGACAGGUGUGAAAAGAGCUGUAACACGCGUUUCUGCUGGGGAGCAACAGGAGUGAAAAAACCGCUGGACACCACAGGCCCCCGUUUGCUGAGCUAAGGGUGGCAGGAACAAACAAGAACUGUAACACUUCCUGGGGGCUCAGACCUCUGGACUCUCCAAGCAAAAGCUGUAACACUCCUUGGGGCUCUGCGUUUGCUGGCUUCUCCAUGUUUUCGGACGCCAUCGCAUCCCCCUCGUCUAGAUGUCGGCACCCAAGGAGGAAGCCAGUUGCGGCAUGGCUGGACCAGCUGCAGGCUGAGGGCAGAGCUGCAAUGGGCAUAGGAUCCAGGCCAGUAGUGUGAGCUGAGCGCAGCCUGCCGCCGAGUGGGUGGAACGAGCCCACUGGCGAUUUUCAGCUGGUGAAGUGGCACCGAAAGAAUCCUGUAUCAAAUGCACCCAAAUGGGAGUGGAGGGGGAAGGUGAAAUUGAUAGUUUUAGUAUUUUGAAUGCUUGGGGCACUUGCGUCUUAUGAAGCUUGCAAACCAGCCAAUAAGACAGAUGUAAAGUAAUAAUAAUGAUGUAGGCCGAAUGUUCUUGAUUUGGUUUGGCUCUAUGUCCCCACCCAAAUCUCAUGUCGAAUUGUAAUCCCCAAAUGUCAAGGGAGAGACCUAGUGGGAUGUGAUCGGAUCAUGGGGGCAGAUUUCCCCCUUGCUGUUCUUGUGAUAGUAUGUUCUCACGAGAUCUGGUUGUUUGAAAGUAUGUGGCAUUUCCCCCUUCACUAUCUUUCUCUUCUGCUCCACCAUAGACAGACAUACUUGCUUGCCCUUUACCUUCCACCAUGAUUGUAAGCCUCCUAGCCAUGAUUCCUGUACAGCCUGUGGAACUGUGAGUCAAUUAAACCUCUUUUCUUCAUAAAUCACCCAGUCUCAGGUAGAUCUUUAUAGCAGUGUGAGAACAGACUAAUACAGUUCUGAUAAUAAAUAAUAUACCUGAGAAAUAUACACUGAUUUAAUUUUACUUUAGCGAAAGGUAUUUAUGUAAAUAGAAAUAUAAUUGAAUGGAAAGAUGGAUAGAAACAGAUGAUAGAUAUGAAAUUAUAUUUUAGAUAUAUAAUUAUUCAAGUAUAAAAAAGAGUAUCUGAUAAGUUAAUAAAAAAUCUGCAUGUUAAAAUCAGUAAGCAUGAAUGCAAUAAACUCCAUUUGCUAUGAUUACAGUUCUUAUUGUCAGUAUGCAGGAAUUACCAACAACUUUAUAUUGUGCCUGCUACAAGUUCUCAAUAUUGGACAAAAUAAAUAAAAGCCAAAAUAUUUCUUUAAAAAGUUAACUGCAUCCAACAUUGCUAAACACUACAAAGCACCACCUUACAGGGGUAACAUUCAAGUUGAUUAAUAUAAUAUUUUCUCUCACAAGUGGAAUCAUGUCACUAUAACUCAAGGAUACUGAUGAAGAAGUAAUGGCCAAAGUGAAAUUUUUGACAACUGGCAAUAUAGCCAUAUCAUAUAGAUCAUUUCUGUUAUGUUUUGUCAAAGAACCUUAAAUUUUUUCCUAUCUAAACUUUCACCAACAUAAAUAAUAGAUCUCUUUCCAUAUUCUCUGCAAUAACAUUUGCAGUAAAUUUAAUUUAUAAUACUGCACCACGUAUCCAGUGCUGUACUGUCAUUGAGAUUAUUGAAAUGAUAGUUCUGCUAGAUAAUCUAUCAAUCCAAAUGGCAGAACUUGGACCAAUCUCGUCUAUAUUAAAAUUACCUUCCCUGUAAGAAACCUAUAAUUCUUUUCUUCUCUUUCACAACUUUGCCUCUGUUUUGAGUUUUAUGAAUAAUUGCAUUUCUACUGAUCAAAAACAAAUUCUAGUAUACUAGGUACACUGUCAUUGAUCACUAUAAGCACUAAUGUAUGAAUAAAAAUAUGUUUAUGUUUCAAGCUAAAACUGACAUCUCUGUAAUAAGAAAUCAUACACAAUCUAGCACAUUACCAUCCUUCUACCUGGGGAGGGAGAGAACUUGGGCUUUAUAAGAGUCAAGAUUUGAUCUAAUAAAAUAUUGAUGAGUGGCAUGCCUGUCAUUCUCUCAGUGUCCUACAUGCUUUCUCUCUUGUUAAUAUAAUACAUCGAAGGCAUUGCUAUCAAUUAGCGCAGUGUCACAGAAUGCGAAACCAGGACAAAAAUUCUCCAGCUGAAUAUCAUCCUGUUCACAGUAUUGAAUAGUACUGUGGGUACAGUUUGUCUAGGAUGGAUAAGGGUAAAAUAAUAUAGAACAUUUAAAAAUUAUUUUUAUUGUGAUUUAAAAUGGUUACUCGUUUCAACUCUGGAAACUAGUUUCACAGUUUUUUCCUCUAGAGGGGCAUUAGUUGGGUCGAUUCUUACUAAGUCCUUACUAAGCAAGAGAAAAACCAUGCACAGGAAUCUCCAAACUGGAACUUCUUUUCAGAAUAUUUUGGAACGCUAGUAGACCAAAACCUAAAAUAAAAAUGUAGCUGCAGCACUUAAGCAACUAACUUUGUGGACUAAACUUAUUGAUAUUCUAACUAAAUUAGUUGGUUAUUUGGUGUAACAUGAUCCUAGGAAUUGGAAAUUCGAAGUCAAGUCCUCAGUGUCCAUGUCCUUUAACUUCACUGAUACUUGAAAAGAUGGGGAGUCUUUCUUCAAAAUGGAGAGAAAGGUUAUUCCUUAUUCCUUGAGAAGGCAUUUGAAACAAAUAGAAAAAAUAAAUAAAUAAUUGACAAUGAAAACUGGCAGCAUCUUUCAAACAAUACCCUGGCUGAAAAUAUCAAUCAAUUAAAAACCUUGCAUUUUAAAAAUUGAAAAAGGAAAUCGUAGCGCACACUUAGUGGUGCCAUUUAUGAAAGUACAAGGAGAAAACCUCUUAGUGGUCUGGGUUCUGAUGUAAGCCUACUGAAUUUUGAGAGAAGAAACCCAAAGAUGAAUGCCAAUGAAAAGUAAUAGGUUCUCUCAGUUAUGUUUCAUAUUUAGACAGUAUCAACAACACCAAAAUAUUCAAACAGGUCAACUGGGUAGAAAAAUAAUUAGUUAUUUCCCAUUGACUAGAUAAGCAACUUGUUUAACUGCUUUUACUUCAUUUGGUAACCUGUUAGUAUUACAUAAUACAAACAUAGCUGUAUUUUAAAAAUAGUAAACCAAAGUUUUGUUACAGAAUAAGCCACAACAUAUAGCUGUGAGUGUUAGGGUUUUCAUAAAGAAAUGGAUUGCCAUUUUUUCCAGUUUAUUUCAAAGCAGCUGAUUCAGACAUUAGAGGAAUCAUUUAUAGAAGAAAGAUGCAUUAAUUCCUAUUAGGUAAAAGGCUGUCUCUGGCUAUGCAUAGGGUUAAAAAAAUAAUGCUCAAGAAAUGAGUCCAAUGAACUUUGUAUAUACUUACCUUUCAUUGUUUUUACACAAUUUGAAAGUAUUAAGCAAAUAAUUUACUAUCCCUGGGGGUGGGGGGAGGGAGAAAUAAAUCAGCCAGCCAAAGAUCUGAUUCUUGUUGUUUGUUUUGUUGUAAUUUAAUUGUAUUUUUCAAAUAGGUAGUUCAAUCAUAUGGUGCAAAGAGAAAACAAUAUUAAAAGACAGAAAUUAAGAAGUUCUCUUUUGUUCCUGUCAUUGUCCAAACCAUUCUUACCCACAAAGCCCUGUCACUUUAAUUAGUUUCUAGUAUAGCCUCCCAGUAUUUCUGCAUAUAGAUAAAGAAUAUAUAACAUGACUAGACACACAGAAUAUAUAAGUAUAUAUUCUUAUGUGUAAAAUUAUUUUCUUUUAAGAAUUUUAAAAUUACCUUUUAAGAAUAAGAAUAUAAAUAUUUUUAUUUUAAAAACUGACAGACGUAAAAUUUACUUUUUUUGUGGUACAGUUCUAUGAGUUCUAACAGAGUAUAGAUUUGUAGAACUACCUCCACACUCGGAAGAAAGAUGAGUUCCAUCAUUCCCCAAAUCUCCCAUGGUACUUCUCUGUGAUUAUGCCCUCUCUCCAUCCCAAACCCCUGGCAGCCAUUCAUCUGUUCUCUCUUGUUAAAGUUUUAUCUUUUUAAGUAUGCCAUAUAAAUGGAAUUACACACACACACACACACACACACACACACACACAUAUGUAAUCUUUUAUGAUUGGCUGCUGUUGCUUAACAUAAUGUAUUUAAGAUGCAUCUAAAUUUAUGUAUCUCAUCAGCAACUUGUGGGAGCACCUGUUCCUCCAAAGUGUCACUAAAAAAGCAUUUUGUCAAACUUGGCUCUUUCGUUCCUUCUAGUUGUUUAGAGUUAUCUGUAAGACACUAGAAAACAAUCAUUCUGGGUAAACACAAUUCCUUGUUUUUCAUUCUAAUUUGAUAAAGAAUACAUACACACAAAGUGUUAGGUUGUCAUAAGACAAGGCAAGAACUCUGGUGCUUAAUCACUCAACGUGGACCACUUUGUCUAGAAAAUUGCUUUAAAAGACCAAAAAAAUGUUUCAAACAGUAAUAUGAAUAUGGUUUAUAAAGUGUGUCUGAUCUCAUUUUAUGAAUUUAACACCUUCACCUGUUUUAUGCAUCCAUUCCUUUCCCAAUGUUUUAUUUUAUUGAAUAUGUACACGUUCUUUUUAAACACAAAACCAAAAGCAUUUUCUCCCAAAUAUUAUGGACAUUUCAACAGAAUUAUAUUUGUUUACUUGACUUUUUAUUGAAUUACUUUGCUAACUAUCUUCAUUUCCCAUUUUAGUUUGCCAAAAUAAAGCAAAAGUUCUUAGGAGGAAAGUUUCAACUGAGACUAUUUUUUCUAACACAGGGACUUCUAAAUGUGGUCUUAGUUUAAGUCCUGGGACUCAUAGUUAUUGCAACAACUAUAUCCAAUAUUUAACAUUUAAUUUUUCUCAUUAACCUUGAAACUUAUUACUAAUUCUUCAGUUACUCUCUCAUAUUCAUCUUAAUCAUAGAAAGUUUGUUGUCAUUUCCUAUCAUAUUUUAAUUCAUUAUUUAUGAAAAGAGUAAUUUCAAUUUGCCUUUAAGCAUUAACUCUGGAUUUUUCAGGAUUUUCUAUUUCUUUUAAGUGUUGGUUCUGUAGUUGAAAUGACUAUUUAAGGGCCACUAUUCUCUUAUAAACAUAUAUUUUGGGGGCUUUUAGAAACAAAUUAUGUAAAAAUAUAAUUAUGGGCCUUAUAUGAGAGUUAAAGACAACUAUUUAUUUUUGACCUGUGCUACUAUGUGGGAAAAAUCAUACUUUUUAAAUGAAAUGAGAAUAACAUACCCAGUAUUAGAAAAAUGUUUAAGGCUAACUCCAAUUAUAGUAUCAAAAUAUAAUCAACGUAAUAACUCUAAUUACAAUAAAUUAUUUAAAAACAGGUAUAAAUCAGACCAAUUUUUAUGUGAGCUUUAAAUAGUCUGAAAUAGUUUUAUUGCAAUUAAACCUCAUGAAUCAUGCAAGUUUCUAGUCAAAUAAAAUUAUUUUAUUUGCCUACUAUUGCUAAUUUUAUACUUUAGCACAACUUGAAGGUCAUAGCAAAAAUAUAUACACUAAGAAAAACCUCUCAAUUUGUUUGUAAUUGUCCAGUUUAUUCUGUUUCCUUAUUACAAAUUUAUUUUUGUGAUAUUCUAAUAUAGGUUUGUCCUGGGUUUAUGUAGAUGAGUUAUAAAAAUAAAAAUAAUUUCUGACUCAAUUAUUAUAAGCAAUGAAUAUGUACAGGUAACAAUUACUUCUUUUAGCAAUUUUUAAAGGGGUUAUACUACACAUAAGCGCUUCAUAUGUUCAGUGUUGAAUGGUAUGUUUUCAGUGGAACUUUGAUAAAAUUGAUUGUAUCCCGAG
rnacentral:lncRNA from 1 species